rnacentral:rRNA from 1 species
GACGAACCGUGCGAACGUUAUUCGGAAUCAUUGGGCUUAAAGGGCGCGUAGGCGGGCGACCGCGUCGAGUGCUGAAAUCCCCCGGCUCAACCGGGGAAGGGGCCUCGAAACGGGUCGCCUCGAGGCGAGGAGGGGGACCUGGAACGUCCGGUGGAGCGGUGAAAUGCGUUGAGAUCGGACGGAACACCAACGGCGAAAGCAAGGUCCUGGACUCGUACUGACGCUGAGGAGCGAAAGCGUGGGGAGCGAACAGG